CUACGGGCUGCUGCAGUGGGGAAUAUUGGGCAAUGGGCGAAAGCCUGACCCAGCAACGCCGCGUGAAGGAAGAAGGCUUUCGGGUCGUAAACUUCUAUCCCAGGUGAAGAUAAUGACGGUAGCCUGGAAGGAAGCCCCGGCUAACUACGUGCCAGCAGCCGCGGUAAUACGUAGGGGGCAAGCGUUGUCCGGAAUGAUUGGGCGUAAAGGGCGCGUAGGCGGCCCUUUAAGUCCGAUGUGAAAGUCCUGCUUUUAAGGUGGGAAUCGCAUUGGAAACUGGAGGGCUUGAGUGCAGGAGAGGUAAGUGGAAUUCCCGGUGUAGCGGUGAAAUGCGUAGAGAUCGGGAGGAACACCAGUGGCGAAGGCGACUUACUGGACUGUAACUGACGCUGAGGCGCGAAAGUGUGGGGAGCAAACAGGAUUAGAUACCCUGGUAGUC
rnacentral:rRNA from 1 species